rnacentral:rRNA from 1 species
AUAAGCGCUGGAAACGGCGUCUAAUACUGGAUACGAGUAGCGACCGCAUGGUCAGUUACUGGAAAGAUUUAUUGGUUGGGGAUGGGCUCGCGGCCUAUCAGCUUGUUGGUGAGGUAAUGGCUCACCAAGGCGUCGACGGGUAGCCGGCCUGAGAGGGUGACCGGCCACACUGGGACUGAGACACGGCCCAGACUCCUACGGGAGGCAGCAGUGGGGAAUAUUGCACAAUGGGCGCAAGCCUGAUGCAGCAACGCCGCGUGAGGGAUGACGGCCUUCGGGUUGUAAACCUCUUUUAGCAGGGAAGAAGCGAAAGUGACGGUACCUGCAGAAAAAGCGCCGGCUAACUACGUGCCAGCAGCCGCGGUAAUACGUAGGGCGCAAGCGUUAUCCGGAAUUAUUGGGCGUAAAGAGCUCGUAGGCGGUUUGUCGCGUCUGCUGUGAAAUCCGGAGGCUCAACCUCCGGCCUGCAGUGGGUACGGGCAGACUAGAGUGCGGUAGGGGAGAUUGGAAUUCCUGGUGUAGCGGUGGAAUGCGCAGAUAUCAGGAGGAACACCGAUGGCGAAGGCAGAUCUCUGGGCCGUAACUGACGCUGAGGAGCGAAAGGGUGGGGAGCAAACAGGCUUAGAUAGCCCUGGUAGUCCACCCCGUAAAUCGUUGGGAAACUAGUUGUGGGGUCCAUUCCACGGAUUCCGUGACGCAGCUAACGC